rnacentral:tRNA from 1 species
GAUAAAAUGGCUGAAGUUUAGGCGAUAAAUUGUAAAUUUAUUUAUGAAAUUUAAUAUUUCUUUUAUUA